rnacentral:rRNA from 1 species
AUUGAACGCUGGCGGCAGGCCUAACACAUGCAAGUCGAGCGAGCGGCGGACGGGUGAGUAAUGUCUGGGAAACUGCCUGAUGGAGGGGGAUAACUACUGGAAACGGUAGCUAAUACCGCAUACCAUCAGAUGUGCCCAGAGGGGAGUAGCUAGUAGGUGGGGUAACGGCCCACCUAGGCGACGACCCCUAGCUGGUCUGAGAGGAUGACCAGCCAAACUGGAACUGAGACACAGUCCAGAGUCCUACGGGAGGCAGCAGUGGAGAAUAUUGCACAAUGAGCGCAAGCCUAAUGCAGCCAUGCCGCGUGUGUGAAGAAGGCCUUCGGGUUGUAAAGCACUUUCAGCGGGGAGGCGUUACCCGCAGAGGAAGCACCGGCUAGCUCCGUGCCAGCAGCCGCGGUAAUAC